rnacentral:rRNA from 1 species
AGUGAACGCUGGCGGUAGGCCUAACACAUGCAAGUCGAACGGCAGCACAGUAAGAGCUUGCUCUUACGGGUGGCGAGUGGCGGACGGGUGAGGAAUACAUCGGAAUCUACUUUUUCGUGGGGGAUAGCGUAGGGAAACUUACGCUAAUACCGCAUACGACCUACGGGUGAAAGCAGGGGAUCUUCGGACCUUGCGCGAUUGAAUGAGCCGAUGUCGGAUUAGCUAGUUGGCGGGGUAAAGGCCCACCAAGGCGACGAUCCGUAGCUGGUCUGAGAGGAUGAUCAGCCACACUGGAACUGAGACACGUCCAGACUCCUACGGGAGGCAGCAGUGGGGAAUAUUGGACAAUGGGCGCAAGCCUGAUCCAGCCAUACCGCGUGGGUGAAGAAGGCCUUCGGGUUGUAAAGCCCUUUUGUUGGGAAAGAAAAGCAGCAGGUUAAUACCCCGCUGUUCUGACGGUACCCAAAGAAUAAGCACCGGCUAACUUCGUG